rnacentral:rRNA from 1 species
CACCCCAGUGCUCUCACAAAUCCAUCUCACCCCUAUGUGCACCACCGCGUGGGUCCCUCUUUGGCUCGUUCCGAGGGGGGCUCGCGUUUUCACACAAACUCGAAGCAGUGUAGAAUGUCUCUUUUUUUGCGAUGACACGCAAUCAAUACAACUUUCAACAACGGAUCUCUUGGCUCUCGCAUCGAUGAAGAACGCAGCGAAAUGCGAUACGUAAUGUGAAUUGCAGAAUUCAGUGAAUCAUCGAAUCUUUGAACGCACCUUGCGCCCCUUGGCAUUCCGAGGGGCACACCCGUUUGAGUGUCGUGAAAUUCUCAAAAAACCCUUCCUUUGGUGGAAAGGAUUUUGGACUUGGAGGCCUUUUGCUGGUUUCACCUUGAAGCGAGCUCCUCCCAAAUGGAUUAGCGGGGUCUGCUUUGCCGAUCCUUGACGUGAUAAUACAUUUCUACGUCUUGGGUUUCUGCACUGUACCUCUGCUUCUAACCGUCUCAUUGACAACGAUGGUGUUCUGGUCACCACCGAUUCAUCGGUGGGAGGCUUGACCCACAAAACGACCUUGACCUCAAAUCGGGUGAGACUACCCGCUGAACUUAAGCAUAU